ACGACCUUACUUGAACAGGAUCUGUUCUAUAGGCUCGUACCUCUGUAACCUUAGGUUCUAAGGAGACAGGAAACCAAGUCUGGUGGAUGAAUUAUAACCGUGCGAUCAGAGUGUGAUUAAUUGCUUCUGUUGAUCUAGGUCAUUCGGUGCAGUAGAGGAUCGCUUCCUAGUACAUCUGUACCCAGGGAUGAUCGCACGGUGUUCUGACAGACC